ACCAAAUGACGUGUUUAGAAUAUAAUAUUAUAGACACAUGUGUGGAUGCAUUGGGAGAUCAGGGAGAGCCAUGGAAUUGGCAGACAGAAUGGAGAUGGACUUGUGUUAGAGAUGUAGAAAUAGGUAAUGAAGCAGUGAGGGUUUCCGCUAUGCACAAGAAGAUUAAAAAGGAAAAUGGGAGUGAAAAUGGAAUUAAGAAGUCAGCAAGCAUCCCUUAUGCUAGUUCUCCUCUUACAUAUUCAUGUGAUGUGCAGCUCCUCCCCCAGGAGGGUGCACAAUCCCAUCAGCGGGGAUGAUAUCCUUUUAUGGCCUAUUAAAAACAUACACGUCUCGGAGGCCAGCUGCACAUCUGCUAGGCUCUAGCAAAGGGGAUGUUCUGCACCCUUUUCCUUUUUUCACCUAAAGAUUACUACGUUUCAGCUUUCUGUGUAGCCAGGAGAGGGCUCAUCCCACAGUUUGGUCCUGGGAUUCUAAGGACAGCGAGGAUCUGAAGAAAGGACAGACACAGUACUGGUGUCUGGUGGAGUGGCACCAACCACCUUAGCGACUGAGAACCUCAGAGUGUUUGUUCUGCACAGCACAUCCGGGAGGAGGACUCUGCAGUAGCCCACACUGGUCCGUCGUUCGUAAACACUCGAAGACUUGGCACUAAAGAGGGUGUUGUCUUUUGUAGCCAUACCUAGGAGAAAGGCUUUGCCAGUUUCCCCUGACUUCAAGGCCUUCGUCCUUGAUUUGACUGCUUCAGGUCAAACAGUAUACAAUUGUUCAGAACGUCAUUCACGCAGGACUUCAACUCACUCCGUACACGGAGGCGACAAAAAUGGUGGAAUAUGGGUGUAACUAACUUACCAAAUUCCAGACUCAGCCUAGAAGGCUCCACAGGAAAGAGGUAAUUUCUAUUAUGAAUGUGUGUGUCUGACUAGAAAGGCUGUAGUGUGAUUCCUUAUCCUUUCCACCACCAAGAUAAACCCUCAGAGUAUCAGCGUGGGGGCUGGGCUGAAGUAGAAAUGAACCCAGAGAGGUUUAAUUAACAACCAGUGUUUGUUUGUAAGAAAGCAGGAGUGAACAGUAGAGUUCAGAAGGUAGUCCAGCUUCAGAAGGGUCUAAGGGGCAGACAUUGGGAUUUCCAGUCCUCUGACUUCUACUCGACAGAGUCAUUUCCUAUGGGGCCAUCUUCCUUUGGUGACUAAAACACGUGGUAGACUAUCUGUUAACCCUGGAAUCUUGCACCUAGAGUUACUAGUGCCGAGCUUUAUAGAGAGACUCCUGGUUUCAAGCCCGGUACCUAAGUCCAGGAAAAGAAAGGCUUCGAGAGUCACAGUGGGAAGACGCAUCAUGGACAAAUUAGUUCCUUCCAGGAGUCACAUAGGAUUCUUUGACAGGGUUGGCCUACCACACGCUGCUAGCCUCAUUUGUGAGAAUCUCCCUUUUACAGAUUUAUUUAUUUAUAUCAUAUGCACAUGAGCCUGCAUGUAUGUUGUAUGCAUAACAUCUGUGUACCCAGUGCACACAGAGGACAGAAGGCAGCACCCAAUCUCCCACAGCUGGAGUUACAGACAGUUUGGAGCCUCUAUGUUGGGACUAGGAGCCAAAUGUGGUUCCUCUGCCUGAGUAGCAGGGGCCUUCAGCUGCUGAGCCAUCUCUCUAGCCCCUACUUGUGAAAAAUCCGAUUUCUGCCUUUACUCUUUCCUUUGCCCUGUUCUGUGGGGCAGCCGUAAUCGCCACAUCCCUAGGAAACAGACUACAGUGAUAUCUUCAGGAAGCAACAAGCCUCACGAUAACUCAUUCCCCUAACUUCCCAAUCUGCUUACCCUGAAAAUUAAAAAGCAAAACCAAAGCAAACUACAUGAAUAUAAUAAUAAUAAUAAUAAUAAUAAUAAUAAUAAUAAUAAUAAAUAUGAUUAGGUUAUUACUUAGCUCUCAGGAAUGCAGAUGCAACCUUGGAAAUGGAUCUUGAGGUACAACCUUCCUUUCUUUCUUCUUAAUAUUUAUUUAUUAUGUAUACAUCACGCAGCUUUCUGCCAGAAGAGGGCAUCAGAUCCCAUUACAGAUGGUUGUGAGCCACCAUGUGAUUGCUGGGAAUUGAACUCAGGACCUCUAGAAGAGCAGACAGUGUUCUUAACCACUGAGCCAUCUCCAGCCCUUGGCACAACCUUUCUUAUCUGUUGGGAAAGCAGACGAUAGGUCAGUGAUAGGACUGCCUAUAUGUCAGGUUCACAUUCUGAUGUGGUGCUUUGACCUAUGAUGUUCUCGAUGAGGAAAACACUUGGGGCUCUGGCUCCUUGAGCAGGUCCAGGUCAGUCUUCUAAGAAAGCAAGGGGGGGGGGAACGUUCACAUUGAACACACUUCUCCUUCUCCAGGGAGGGAACAUAGAGACCACUGAGAUCCAGGCAGAGACUCUGGCAAAUGCAGAAAAUGUGGAUCCCACACUGAAAUACUUCUGAGACCAUUCAGUGGGGUUUGCAAUCCCAUUUAUUAGAUUUCUCUCUCCAUUCUCUCUCCCUCCAGAGACCUAUAAGUGAUGGUCAUUGCUCUGUUUUCCUAAGCUUUAGCCAUUGUGAUAGUUAUUUAAUGGUAACAUAUUUCAUAUAGCAACACCCUAAUAAGAAUGCUAUAUAUAAGAUUAGGUGAAUAAUAUUGGACAAAUUGAAUUUUAAAAAGCCAAUGGGGUGGGGGAUAUCCCAAUGAGAUUAAACUCUGACUUAAAUCCCAAAGUGAGAUAUUGCUAGAAGGUUAAUUUUCCUUCACAACCACCCUGCUCCCUGUUCCCAGACAGCUUUGCAAGUUGUUCCUAGAGACUGUAUCUGGAUACCCUUAAAGCCCUUGGGAAUUUCUGGGUGCAUUGAGAUAAACUGCAAAGUGAGUUUUUUAGUUGCCCCAUGUUGUGUCUUUCAAUGGGCUCUCAAAAGAACAGUUGGGCAAAUAAAGUCUAAGUGAAGAGCUUUGUGAGGAAGGAUGACUGACAGAUUAUAAAGUAAUUCAGUGUGUCUUGGUCCAUUAUCUCAUUUUUCAUAAAUAGUUUGACACCAGAAGAUCUUUGUUAGCUUUUGGGGUUUUUUGUUUUGUUUUGUUUUGCUUUUUUGACAGGAAGAGACUUGUGGGUUUGUUUUCAGUGUAUCAGUGGUUUCCAAGGUUGGUUAUGUAAGAAAGAUUCAUCUGAUGAUGUGUGAUAAAAUUAAAAACUGAGUUGAACUUUUCAAGGUAAGAUGCCACCUGCCUGUUCUGGAAAGCUUGAGGGAGUAAGCUGGCAACAAUGUUGCCCAUCGGAGACCAUCAUGCAUUUAGGGAGAUGGCAUGGAGUCCCCCUCAAAAAUACCACCAGGAAUGGAGACCCACCUGCCCUUCCACCUGUCUCAAGGGCAUGAAGGACCUUAGGGAAUCUUUCUAUUAUGGCAGAGAAGAUAUAAAAACGAUUAAGCAGGAACAGCAGAUACAGUGUUUUCAUUUUUUAACCUUCAUUUAUUUAUUAUGUGUGGGGGUGUUUUGGCUGCGUGGAUGUCUGUGUGUCAUGUAUAUGCCUGGUGCCCACAGAGGUCAGGAGAGGACACUGGACCACCUGGGACAGGACUAAAAGACAGGUGUGAGCAGCCUUUGUAGAUGCUAGGAAUCGAACCCAGGUUUUUCGCAAGAUUAGCUGGUUCCAAUACGUUUGCUUAUGAUGUGCUGGAUAUUUCCGUGAAGUUUUUAAGAUGAACAUUUAGGUAAGAUUAGUCCUUAAAGUCGAUUAAUAUCUGUGCUAUGUGUGGGCCUCUCUGUCCCUCAGCUAAAGACCUUGGUAGGGCAGCAGCCAGACAGAGCUCUUCUGAGGCAGAGAAGAGCUCUUGUCUUGUGUUUCUUCUAAGAGAUCUAAUAUUGAAGUCAAAGUUUCAUUAUUUAAGCAGAAAAAGAAAAGGGAAAUUAAAGUAAAAAGAGUGGCCGCCCUUGAGAGCGCAUACAGCCGCGGGAUUGGUCUAGUUCUGGAGAAAAAGGGGGAGCCGUAGCUGUUCUCCUUUUAUUUAAGUGGCGCUUACUGCUUUACUUCCUUCGAGGUGCUGUGUUUUGAACGUACACGUUUAUAGUCACUUAAGAACUGCUUUAUUUAAGAAAAACUUGGGAAAUUGGAGGGGAAGCUGAAAUCAGGUGCAUUAUGUGGGUCAAGCUUUGUUUUUAAUUGGUUAUUUCAUUUAUUUACAUUUCAAAUGUCCCCCUUCCUGGUUUCCCCUCCAUAACUCCCCAUCUCAUACCCCUCCCCUUGGUCUCUAUGAGCAUGCUCCCCUACCCACUCCCACCUCACUGCUCCAGCAUCCCCCAAAGCUGGGGCAUCGAGUGAGCCUCCACAGGACCAGGACCAAGGGCCUCCCCUCCCAUUGAUGCAGAUAAGGAUCGAGCUUUAACAAGCAUUAAGCUGUGAGUGGCUCAGUCGCUGGCCAGGUUGAACUAUGUGAGAAGGCCAAUCUUUGAGUGUGUCUGACUUGCUUUUAAAAAGACAAUUUCAUGUGACUUGUUCUAAAGGAAUAUACUGCGAUUUCAACACCACGGGCAGGAAAGAACAUUUCUGAUUCUUCCCCAUAAGAAUGUUUUCCUUAGGGGUUGGGGAUUUAGCUCGGUGGUAGAGCGCUUGCCUAGGAAGCGCAAGGCCCUGGGUUCGGUCCCAGCUCCGGAAAAAAAAGAACCAAAAAAAAAAAAAAAAGAAUGUUUUCCUUAGGUAGGAUAAGGUAGGGAUAGUUCAAUAUGCGAUGUAAGGAGUAUGCAAAUGCUGGCAGUGAUUAUCCUGGGAUGUAUUUUUGCCUCAUUAAAAAUAUUAACAUUUAAAAAUACAAUGAAAUGCCAUGGGGUCAUAGACACAAUCUCUCCCCCUUAGCAUGUCUCCUCUCAUAGCACACGAUUCCGUACAGACAUUUGCUGCACAGCUAUAGACCGUGUUGCUUCCUGUCCACGAUGUCUGUAGAUGUUGUAUUGAUAAACCUGCCAGGGUCUCAUUUCUGGCAUCCCUGAGGAUCCUCGGUCUGGCAAGACCCACGGCUCUGCCAUUGUCCUGCUGCUUGGAUAACACUUGGCAGUUUAGGAAACUCAUUUUCCUUUCCCUGAUGCCCAAACAUCCUAGCACUCAUUGUUGUUCUCGUGUUUAUGAUGGAGCAGAUUCGAUCCAGGUGGAUGAACUUACUGGUCGAGAUUUACGAGACUUAAUGGAAGGGACUGGAUCUCGUGUGGGUCCUGCUGCUUCCCAUCUACAGAUGAAAGCCAAGUUGCCUACACUUGCUCCUCCUCCUUUCAAUAGAGUCUCCCAGUCUGCGCAGUCCUUCAACACUGGACCAUAAUUUGCUUAGGGAGAAGGAGUCUAUGAACAUCUCCAACACUCUGUUUCCAAGCAGAGGAUGGGGCUCUUAGCAGCUCCUUGUGAGCUCUAGGGAAGGAUUUCAGCAUCCAACACUAGUUGCCUUUUUUUUUUUUUAAAUCAAUGCUGACCUUGUUCAUGUUUUGAAAACACAGCCAUCGGCAUGAAGUAGAGCUGGAAGUAUGGCUUCACAGCAGCCGAGUAUUUCCUCUUUUGCACAAUGCUUCCAGAGAGAAAGACAUCAGAACAUCCAUGAGGCGAGUUACUUGGAAAGCUAAAUUUAGAAUGAGUGGAAAUGUGGGAAGAACAUCUGUUAGACUUACUUCUUCAGGACCCGCCUGCAGUGUGGGAAAGCAAUAGGGAGAAAGCACGCAACAAUGUUACCCAUCAGAGGCCAGGCAAUAGUGUUACCCAUCAGAGACCAGGCAAUAGUGUUACCCAUCAUAGAGACCAGCCAGGCCCUCACAAAAGUGAAGGGAAACUUCCCUUCCAGCAGGGAGCGGAUUGACAGCAAGUCUUCCAGAACAUGCUCUGAAAUGCCUAAGGGCUGGGCAGAGCCUGACCCUAGGUUAGAGAAUAUGCUAUGUGCAUGUAUGAAGAUGCCAAAGAAAACAUUACUUUGUCCACUUAAUUUGCAUUAAAAAUUCCAUAUAAUUCAGUAAAGGGAAGACAUUUCUAAUUAUACUUUUUUUUUGGACAUUUCUUCUAGUUAAAAAAAAUGGGGAAAUAAAAAGCUCAGCAGAAAUUCUUUGCGGUCACAGGGUACCUCUGUAGCUUAGGAAAAAUUACAGGCCUCUCUUCUCUCUUAGCUAAGCUCUUUCUUUCUGUGUUCAGUACCUUUGCUGGUGUUUCUCUUUGAAGGGGGAAAACUGCAGUUCUUUCUCAUUAUUUGGUCAUCUGAAUUUCUUGCUGCUACUUCAGAAGCUGGCAGGGAAAUGCCCUGAGUAUUGUGACUAUAAUUUCAACUUAGUUCACUAGUUCUAUAAUUAUGUAUUUUCUUUCUUGUGCAUUUAUUUUUUGAGCUUUUGCCUAGACAUUUAUAGCAGCUACAUUCUUCCUGGCUCAGUGCCACAGGGAAAAUUCUGGCACCAAACAGACAUUAGCAGACUAGAACACAAGCUCCUUCUCUUCUGCCGCUUAUCACCACUCCUCGCUGCCCACGGAAUCUUUGGGCCUUUAAAGGAAAACAAACAAUUUACCUGCAAGGCAGAGGGAAGGCAUUCAAGCUUUUGCCUUGCUGGGUGUGCUAUGUUAAAGAUCCUCAGUGCCACCCUCACCAGCUACGGGGUAACAAAGCUUUGCAGUAGAGGCGGGACCUCAGGAUGCCGGACUGAGAUCAGCUGUGAGCCCACAGGAUCAUAGGUCCCCUCCCAUUGUUGGAAGAGCAGCUAAGUGAUUACCAAGAACAGACUUCAUACGCUGUACAGUGCUAGACGGGCUUCUGCUGAAGUGAUGCUAUGCUCAGCUCAAGAUGUGUGCUCUCUGGCUCAAGGAAGAGAAUGUUUGCUGACUUCUAAGUUAGAGACCAGUGUUUUGGCAAAACAAAAGGCAUUGUAAAGUCUCCCCGUGAACACGUCCGCGUCAGCCACCACUGCUAGCAUGAACCGCUUGGCACACUGGUGGGGAGAAAUGUUGUGCUUCUUAAAGGAAAGCUUGGGAACGCAAUAGAGAGUUUGAAAGAUUCGCAGUCCAUUUCAAUCACCGAAUACAGCUAUGAUAGGUACCAACUGUAUCCACUCCCAAGGCUCUUAAAAAACAAAUCAAAGUUCUCCUAACUUAAAAGUUUUCUCCGCUUGUCUGUUAUGGACUUCACAGGGACCAGAUAGAAGCAUUGAUAUGGGGCUGGGUCAUUUGUAAAACCCUUGCCUAGGAUGGCCAAGACCUUGCUUUUGAUCCUUAAGCCUCUAAGAAGUAAAACUAAAGCAGAAAUAAACCAGUUUACUUGACCUUGGGUUAGUAUGUGGGGUCGUUACUCCUGGGUCAUUACUAUGAGGGCUGGUCCUUUAAAAUAGCCUUUUUGAGACCUGGUUGCUAUGGUGCAAUAGGCCUCCUGUGUGUGAAUCAGCAUCCUGGAGUUUCUUUUAAGGCUCAGAGCCUUUUCAAGUUUACCUCAGGUUGACUCGAUCCGAUCCCGGGGUUUGCAUCACUCUCUAUUCCCUUCAAUCAAAUGAUUCUGUUUCCUUGGUAACUGAACAGACACAAAGUCUGCAGACUCAGAAGAACAGGUCAGGACUAAUAACAAAAUAGUAAUUUUGGUGUUUUCAACUUCUCUUUCUAGAAGUAAUUCACUUCUUGUUGGAAGUCAAAGUGGAGCCUUUCCCCAGCAAUUUUCAAGGCCCUGAACCCCAAAGUAAAAAACAAAAGGAACCAAGGAAGUCCUAGAUCUUAAUAACCUCAGGGAUUAUAGACUAGGCAAAUUAUUUCAAAGAUUCAGUAUGAAGAUGUUUCUAGUAAAACAACUAAAAUUGCAGAAGCGACCCUUUGCCUCAAGAAGAAGCAAGCCAAGGAAAGAGGGUUCACGUUUAGGGUCCUGCACAUGGCAAAAUGACUUAUAGCAGAAUCCAUUUGCAUUCAUUAUUUUCCUACAGUCUGUGUACACACAGAAACAACAACACAAUUUCCUCAGUAUGCUCCCUGACAGAUGCCCGCCGUGAUGUCUACAUUCUCCUCCAGAGAUAAGUGUAUCCAGGAAGGUAGUAACCCAUGGUAACCACGAACAGUGUGAGGGAGACAAAGUCCCCUGGAGGGCUGUGCAGUGUUUCCUCAGUGAGGAAAGGUGUGUGUUUCUCUUCAGUUUUCAGUAUUUACCAGUAAAUCCUGUGACUCGUGUCAUAAUGAAUGCACUGUGAGGUCACUCCCAGUACAUGGCAUCUACUUAACGGCUUUGUGAGUUCACUCUCAAGGCUGUUUAACUGUUGGAGGGUCUGGGGGCUCCUCGGCACAGAUGCAGGGGCACAUUCUGUGCUAAGCAGAGUGUUUCCUCACCCCAAGAAGUGCAAUUUUGGUGAUUAUAAAGCGACUUGAUUGUGUGCUUAAAAAAAAAGUCAGAAAUCAUAUUUAUGAAAAAACAGGCUGUGUUCUCCAUGCAUACUGAGAACCCAGAAGAGUGCAUUGAAGCCCCAGGGACUGGAGUUACAGACGGUUAUGAGUUGUCAAUGUGGGUGCUUGGAAGUAAACCCAAGUCCCCCAGAAGAUCAGCAGUGCUCUUAACCUCUGAGCAUCUCUCUAGCCCUCGUCCAUAUUUUAAAGUAUGGAGAAUCUGAAGACCCUCAUCUAUCUUACACCAAUUGCUUAUAUUUUAAAGGAAAAGUCUUUGUCCUCCUAAUCUCCAAGAUAAUAAAGGUUACCAAGAUACCAAAUCUAAA